CUCUUAAGUAUGUGGCAAAACAGAAAUAAAAAGUAGCCUGGUAAAUACAUAAAAUUUGAUGGAGACAGCAUGGAGGAGAUGGGGUUUUGUUAAGCUGCUAAAGUUUCCAGGCUAUGUUUGAACUUGUGAACCUUGUGCCUCAGCCAUCCAGAGUUUUGGGACUGUGGCUUUUGUUUUAAGUCUAUAUCCAGAGGCCAAAAUGUCUGGGGCGGAGGCUGAUGGAUCUGAGCUGGAAGCCAGGAGAUGAUGUCCAAGGUGAAGGUGAAGACUGGAAUUCCUCUGAGAAAACAGAAGCAAAUCUUCAUUUCCACUUUAUACCAUUCAGGUGACCAGCUGCCCUGGUAUAGGUCCUCUGUCUUUGGCUGGACUCGAACUGACAGUGAUCCUCUUGGCUCAGCCUCUCUAAUGCUGUCAUUAUAGGCAUGUGCUACCACGCCUGGCUGACCUAUUCUUUUUUUUUCUAUUCUUCUUAAAUGCUUGACCAAUCUGAGACCUACAGGCCACUUUCCCUCUUUAAUGUUAUCAUAAAAAAUAUUUAAAGGUAACAGAAGCUUUGUCAUUUACAUAUAUGAGGCUUAAGGUAAAACUUAAUUAGGUCCACGCAAGCCAAAGGGCCAGUAGGUUAAGUGUUUUCUUACACUGUCCUGGAGAAACUAGUUUCAGUUAAAAAAAGAAACAACCCCCCCCCUAACAAAAAACUAAAUCAGUUCAAGGACGUAUAUAAAAAUGUAUCAUCUGUAGGUCUUCCUAACCUUCAGUCGGUCCCUGUGGAUUUUCUUCUUCCAAUCCUAUUCCUAUUUUUCCCUCAUAAUAAAAUACUUUUCUUCACCUGAAUAAAUCAGCCUCUGGCUUCUGCAGGCUGGGGAGGAAGGGAUGCCGUCUGUGGGGUGUGCCUGAGGGCACAGCCUGUUUCCUAGUGCUGCCAGCUCUUGUCCUAGGGCCACUGGGUAGCAGGCUGUGGCCAAGUCUUGGUGGAAGCCUCUCACUGGGAAGGGUUUCAUACAUGCCACUGUCCU